UGGGGAAUAUUGCACAAUGGGCGCAAGCCUGAUGCAGCCAUGCCGCGUGUAUGAAGAAGGCCUUCGGGUUGUAAAGUACUUUCAGUCGGGAGGAAGGUGGUAAGGUUAAUAACCUUGCCAAUUGACGUUACCGACAGAAGAAGCACCGGCUAACUCCGUGCCAGCAGCCGCGGUGAUACGGAGGGUGCAAGCGUUAAUCGGAAUUACUGGGCGUAAAGCGCACGCAGGCGGUUGAUUGAGUCAGAUGUGAAAUCCCCGGGCUUAACCCGGGAAUUGCAUCUGAUACUGGUCAGCUAGAGUCUUGUAGAGGGGGGUAGAAUUCCAUGUGUAGCGGUGAAAUGCGUAGAGAUGUGGAGGAAUACCGGUGGCGAAGGCGGCCCCCUGGACAAAGACUGACGCUCAGGUGCGAAAGCGUGGGGAGCAAACAGG
rnacentral:rRNA from 1 species